AUGUUUAAACGUGUGUUCACUAUAUGUGCUGCAAUUGAUGAGAAAAUUCUUCUGUCCCCUUCAGAUGUCCAUAGAACUGUCGGCCCAUUCACAACCAAGACAGAGGCCGUUGCGGAAGGACAUGUCGACCUGGACCAAGAGCUGUACAGAAAACCAAAGCCAGAGAGAGAAGGACGUUUGUUCCACCAAGUGUACCCCUACGCAAGCCUGCUGCCUCUGCUCGGGGAGUUCGACCCAGCCAGUACUGAGGAAGAACCCGAGUCGGACGUAGACGGGGAGCUAGCAGAGCAGCUGGCAGGCUGGAAGAUGGCAACGGAUCCUCAAAUCAGCACCAUUACAGUGAACGUCAAAGUGUCCCAGGAGCUGCUGCAGCAGGCCAACCGGAGCCUGGACGCGGUGGAAGCCCCCCCCCUGCUGGACUACAGAGGGGUGGAGGACGUUGACUGGCGCAGAGAUGCUCCCCGCUAUCGACACAGCGACCCCUCCCGCGCUUCCUUCCCCACGUCCAAAGCCAAGGCUAAGCUCUGCGGAGUGAGCGCUGCCGUCGGGCCGCCGAAGAAGCACUACAGUCUAAUUCCGCCCGGGGGGGAGGAAUGGGGAAGGAACCUGGAGGCCCAGCUUCAGAGCACAGAUUGGGAACCGCUGAGCGAGGAGGAACUCUCUCAAUGGCUGAGUUACUAUCCGGUGGAGCAGCAGCACGUCCCCUCCUCGGGACGCCACGCCUCAGCGACCUCGCCGCUGGGAGCUGAUGCCGGAGAGGAAUUGAGCCAGUACACAUCUGCUCUGGACCACAGUCUCGUCAGCAUCCUCCCCGAGAGGAAGAAUACGCAGGUACAUGGGCUACAUCAGCAAGAGUACUUUUUAGUCACUAUCAUUGGGACACAUUUCUCUAUGUUACAAUUAUUAUCGUUUGUGUCAGAUUGUCAGACGUCUCCUCCAGACAUCCAGUUCCCCAGAAGAUGUAGCGGUUACAUUAGAGCUGUGCCAGCCAGCAGCUGGUGGGAGUCCACCCUCUGA
ensembl:lncRNA